CGCGGCAGACGGGUGAGUAACACGUGGACAACCUACCCUGAAGAGGGGGAUAACCCAGGGAAACCUGGAACAAUACCGCAUAAUGUUUCCGGAGCUUCGGCUUCGGAAAAGAAAGGUGGCCUAUGCUUGCAAGCUACCACUUCGGGAGGGGUCCGCGCCCUAUCAGCUAGUUGGUGAGGUAACGGCUCACCAAGGCGACGACGGGUAGCCGACCUGAGAGGGUGAUCGGCCACACUGGAACUGAGACACGGUCCAGACUCCUACGGGAGGCAGCAGUGGGGAAUUUUGCGCAAUGGGCGAAAGCCUGACGCAGCAACGCCGCGUGGAGGAUGAAGGCCUUCGGGUCGUAAACUCCUGUUGAGCGGAACGAAAAGCCGGAGGUGAAUAAUCUCCGGUUUUGACGGUACCGUUUGAGGAAGCCCCGGCUAACUCCGUGCCAGCAGCCGCGGUAAUACGGAGGGGGCAAGCGUUGCUCGGAAUCACUGGGCGUAAAGCGUAGGUAGGCGGCCUGCCACGUCGGGGGUGAAAUCCCGGGGCUUAACCCCGGAACUGCCUUCGAUACGGGCGGGCUUGAGUGCGCGAGGGGGAGACGGAAUUCCAGGUGUAGAGGUGAAAUUCGUAGAUAUCUGGAGGAACACCGGCGGCGAAGGCGGUCUCCUGGAGCGUGACUGACGCUGAGCUACGAAAGCUGGGGGAGCAAACAGGAUUAGAUACCCUGGUAGUCCCAGCCCUAAACGAUGGAUGCUAGGCGUGGCGGGAGUUGACCCCCGCCGUGCCCAAGCUAACGCGUUAAGCAUCCCGCCUGGGGAGUACGGCCGCAAGGUUGAAACUCAAAUGAAUUGACGGGGACCCGCACAAGCGGUGGAGUAUGUGGUUUAAUUCGACGCAACGCGAAGAACCUUACCUGGGCUUGAACCGUACGGGACAUCCCGGUGAAAACCGGGCCUUCUCUUCGGAGACUCGUACAGAGGUGCUGCAUGGCUGUCGUCAGCUCGUGUCGUGAGAUGUUAGGUUAAGUCCUGCAACGAGCGCAACCCCUGUCCUUAUUUGCCAACGGGUUAUGCCGGGAACUAUAGGGAUACUGCCGGUGACAAACCGGAGGAAGGUGGGGAUGACGUCAAGUCAUCAUGGCCUUUAUGUCCAGGGCUACACACGUACUACAAUGGACGGUACAGAGGGUCGCGAACCCGCGAGGGGGAGCCAAUCCCAGAAAGCCGUCCUCAGUUCGGAUUGCAGUCUGCAACUCGACUGCAUGAAGUUGGAAUCGCUAGUAAUCGCGGAUCAG
rnacentral:rRNA from 1 species